rnacentral:lncRNA from 1 species
AAUUCCAGCCCAUUAUAAUCUACAAGUUUCUCCGUAUGUCAGCGACGCUUGAUAGACCAUAAGCACCAAAAGUAGGCAAAUACAUGAGAUCGUUUAGUUUAGGCAAGGUUUGUGUGCUUCAACAAAUUCAUCAAAGAAUUCUUCUUCAUAACCCAUUGUAAUACAAAGAUACUGACCAUUUUCCUUUAUCAUUGAAUCAACCCAAUAAAUUGAAUAAAAGAAGUCAAUACCACCACCUCCAUGUAUGUAUGCAUUUUGCUUGCUCAUCAGCAAAAACCGAUAGAUUUUGACAUCUGAUCUCGACGGCUGCACAGGCAACAACUACAUACGAAUUCAGCUCCAAAAAAUAAUGGUAACUUUUCUAACUCAAACUCUCUGGCGUUGGUCAUUGAGACCAAUUGUUGGUAUAAAUUGACACAUGUACAGAUGCACUCUACGUGUUUUAUGAAAUGACAAAGUGAGUUCUUGAGAUUUCGUUGAGUUAAUAAUUCUACCUAUUUUGAUCCCUUAAGCUUCCAAAAUCAUAGUUUUAGCUCCAAAUCCUUGCUAGGAAUGGUUGCCUAUAAAAUCUUCACUAAACACAUUAAACUUACCAAUUUCACAUGAAAAUAAUGCAAAUAGAGUAGAUUAUAUAUGAAAAAUAGGAAUCUAUCAUUUGCCUUGUGAUAGGUCUAGACAGUGAGUGAGGUAUACUAGGCAAAGAACCACACUAGCGCAAUGUCGAUGAGGAAAGAGAAUUGAGUUCUUAGAGGUGGGAAUUAGGAGAGACUAGCAAAGUGAGUUUAAGUGAAUUAAUAAUUAAAGGGUAUUUUAGGAAUAAUGGUGGGUGAAAAGAAAUGAUUAUUUUAGGAAUAAUGGUGGGUGGAAAGGAAGGAUUGUGUUUUCUCAAAUUUACAUGGUGAGUGAAAAAAUAGGACGAGAGAGUAGAAAUAGCAACACUCUUUUUUAUUGAGAGGUACGAUAAUAUACUAAACUCACACACACUACACAAAUACUAAGACUCGAACCCAAAACUUUACCUAAUUACUCAAAAUUAGUGUACAAGUGGAUCCUUUACAACAGCACUCUUAAACAAUCACAUUUUGGGAUUAGAUGCCCCAAUAAUUAAUAAUAAAAAAUAGAUGCCACCCACCUCAGCCCUAUUGGUCCUUAAACCUCAAUUGUUUUAUGGGUUGUAAAUAAUGUUUGUUUAGACAAGCAUGCAACAUUUUACGGGUCUUGUUCUAUGUCACCUACCUCCUCUGUAACAUAUCACAGUGUUAACAGCUGCUGAUCAGUUCACUUGGUGGACAGGACAGGACUUUUAUUUUAUUUUGAUACAAGUAAUAUUAAAAGAGAAAUCGAAUAUAGAACCUUGAAUGGAAGAAUAAUUUCUUUUAACUACUCAACUUGUAAGCCCCUUAAACAGGACAAAGCAUCUUAGCUUAUGCUUAUAUUCAGAUUCAACAAACAAUAUCAUCACAAACAAAAUAAAUUACUUUUACAGCAGACUAAUUGCGCUUAACAAGGACAUUCAAAUUUGCCAAGUUCUUAAUGCGAGCAAACCGAGGUGACUUGGAGAAUUCUUCAAGCUUGUCCGAAUAUCUCUUGAAAAGUUC